UGCCAGCCGCCGCGGUAAUACGGAGGGAGCUAGCGUUGUUCGGAAUUACUGGGCGUAAAGCGCGCGUAGGCGGCUUUUUAAGUCAGAUGUGAAAGUCCACGGCUCAACCGUGGAAGUGCAUUUGAAACUGGGAGGCUUGAGUAUUGGAGGGGGUGGUGGAAUUCCCGGUGUAGAGGUGAAAUUCGUAGAUAUCGGGAGGAACAUCAGUGGCGAAGGCGGCAAUCUGGACCAAUACUGACGCUGAGACGCGAAAGCGUGGGGAGCAAACAGGAUUAGAUA
rnacentral:rRNA from 1 species